rnacentral:rRNA from 1 species
AGUGAACGCUGGCGGUAGGCCUAACACAUGCAAGUCGAACGGCAGCACAGUAAUAGCUUGCUCUUACGGGUGGCGAGUGGCGGACGGUUGAGGAAUACAUCGGAAUCUACUUUUUCGUGGGGGUUAACGUAGGUAAUCUUACGCUAAUACCGCAUACGACCUACGGGUGAAAGCAGGGGAUCUUCGGACCUUGCGCGAUUGAAUGAGCCGAUGUCGGAUUAGCUAGUUGGCGGGGUAAAGGCCCACCAAGGCGACGAUCCGUAGCUGGUCUGAGAGGAUGAUCAGACACACUGGAACUGAGACACGGUCCAGACUCCUACGGGAGGCAGCAGUGGGGAAUAUUGGACAAUGGGGGCAAGCCUGAUACAGCAAUACCGCGUGGGUGAAGAAGGCCUUCGGGUUGUAAAGCCCUUUUGUUGGGAAAGAAAAGCAGCAGGUUAAUACCCCGCUGGUAUGACGGUACCGAAAGAAUAAGCACCGGCUAACUUCGUG